GUGGAUGUAGCUCAGUGGUAGAGUGCAUGCUUUGAAUAUAUGAGGUCCUGGGUUCAAUCCCCAGCAUCUCCA
rfam:Lepisosteus oculatus linkage group LG12, whole genome shotgun sequence.